rnacentral:misc_RNA from 1 species
CAAGAAUCGAGGCUGACGGUGCCUGCCGGGACUUUGUGCGCCCGUGCUAGGUUGCGUCCGGCCCCGCUCCUUACCUUGCCUACUGCACCGUUUGUUGCUUCCUGGCGGUGGGACACCGCCGCCAGGAUCCUUCUAAAAGUCUUGUAUAUAAGCAUUGAAAACCCUGAUAUACACUAAAUCGUA